ACUACCAAGAACCUAAAGAAGCGCAAGGUCGUCAUCCUAGACUGGUGUUGUAUGUGUAAGCAAUCUGGCAAGACAGUAGAACAUCUCUUGUUACAUUGUGAGACAGCUAGAGCCUUGUGGACUGAAGUGUUUAGUCGGGUGGAGUUAUCGUAUGUAAUGCUCGCAACAGUGGUUGAGCUACUGGCUAGCUGGACUCUCUCGAGAGGAGUCCCACAAAUUAAGGAGGUGUGGAAGAUGAUCCCAACCUGCAUCAUGUGGUACAUUUGGCAAGAACGUAAUGAUCGGACUUUCGAUAACAAGGAGCGUUCACCCGAUGAACUUCAAGCAUUAUUUUUCUGUACUUUAUUUCUAUGGGCCAUAGCUUUAGAUUUAUUGGUCUGAAUUUUUAUGAUUUUCUUGUUUCCUCUACUUCAUUCUAGAAAGGCCUUAUCUCUUGUAUUCAUCUUGUGUACUUGGGCUAUGCCUAUCUUUAUUAAUAUAUCAUUUACUUAUAAAAAAAAACAAUAGAUCACCGACAAUGGGCUACAUAUAGCCUUUGUCAACUAUAGGAUCAAAAUCAAAAGGCCAAAAAUGGGUCUAGGGCUUCAAACAAAGCUCACAACAGACUAAAACCCAAUAAAAAUGGCUCACAUCUAAUAAAGAUAUCCUAAAUGCAUGGAUUUGAGACGAAACAUGGUUGAAUGGCGAUGAGAAUUUUGCAAGGGGUAAAAGUAGUAGAAGAACUUUAAAAGAAAUAGU